rnacentral:rRNA from 1 species
GGACUACAGGGGUAUCUAAUCCCGUUCGCUCCCCUGGCUUUCGCACCUCAGCGUCAGUCACCAGCCAGGACACUGCCUUCGCCUUCGGUGUUCCUCCGGAUCUCUACGCAUUUCACCACUCCACCCGGAAUUCCGUGUCCCUCUCUGGCCCUCAAGUCCUGCCGUCUUUCGCACCCUCGGGGAGUUAAGCCCCCCGCUGUCACGCGAAACGCGCAGCACCGCCUGCGUGCCCUUUACGCCCAGUAACUCCGGACAACGCUCGCCCCCUACGUAUUACCGCGGCGGCUGGCAC